rnacentral:rRNA from 1 species
UAAACGACUCUCGGCAACGGAUAUCUCGGCUCUCGCAUCGAUGAAGAACGUAGCGAAAUGCGAUACUUGGUGUGAAUUGCAGAAUCCCGUGAACCAUCGAGUCUUUGAACGCAAGUUGCGCCCGAAGCCUUCAGGCUAAGGGCACGUCUGCCUGGGCGUCACGC